UACGUAGGGGGCAAGCGUUGUCCGGAUUUAUUGGGCGUAAAGAGCGUGUAGGCGGCCAAGCAGGUCCGCUGUGAAAACUCGAGGCUCAACCUCGAGACGUCGGUGGAAACCGUUUGGCUAGAGUCCGGAAGAGGAGAGUGGAAUUCCCGGUGUAGCGGUGAAAUGCGUAGAUAUCAGGAGGAACACCGAUGGCGAAGGCAGGUCUCUGGGCUGACACUGACGCUCAUGCACGAAAGCGUGGGGAGCAAACAGG
rnacentral:rRNA from 1 species